rnacentral:tRNA from 1 species
GCGCGAUUAGUCUAGUGGUUAGGAUCUCGGCCUUCCAAGCCGAUGACCCGGGUAGCCGCUCCAUUUCGGGGUUGUUCGGGAUUUCAAUUCCCGGAUCGCGCA